UAGGGAAUAUUGCUUAAUGGGCGAAAGCCUGAAGCAGCAACGCCGCGUGUGUGAAGAAGGCCUUCGGGUUGUAAAACACUUUUUGAGGGAAUGAGGAAGGACAGUACCCUCAGAAUAAGCCUCGGCUAACUACGUGCCAGCAGCCGCGGUAAAACGUAGGAGGCGAGCGUUAUCCGGAUUUACUGGGCGUAAAGCGCGUGCAGGCGGCACGGCAAGUUGGAUGUGAAAGCUCCCGGCUUAACUGGGAGAGGUCGUACAAGACUGCCGAGCUAGAGUGCGGGAGAGGGAGGUGGAAUUCCGGGUGUAGUGGUGAAAUGCGUAGAUAUCCGGAGGAACACCAGUGGCGAAAGCGGCCUCCUGGUCCGCAACUGACGCUCAGACGCGAAAGCUAGGGUAGCAAACGG
rnacentral:rRNA from 1 species